GCCACCAUGGCGUAGUGGUUUGAGUGUUGGGCUAUAACUCUGUGAAGACCAGGGUUCAAUUCCCAGUUUGGCC